UCCGGGCUUCGCUCCGAUGGUUGACGAACGAUUGCCGGACCCCUGGUCAUGUUCCUGCACCUCGUUCCGGCCCCGUCCUUGUCCCCCGGGU